rnacentral:tRNA from 1 species
GCACGGGUGGCGGAAUGGCAGACGCGUUAGUUUAAGGGGCUAAUGUCAGCAAUGACGUGCGGGUUCGAUCCCCGCCCCGUGCACCA